rnacentral:rRNA from 1 species
UACGUAGGGACCGAGCGUUGUCCGGAUUCAUUGGGCGUAAAGAGCUCGUAGGCGGCUUGUCGCGUCGACUGUGAAAACCCGUGGCUCAACCAUGUGGUCUGCAGUCGAUACGGGCAGGCUAGAAUUCGGUAGGGGAGACUGGAAUUCCUGGUGUAGCGGUGAAAUGCGCAGAUAUCAGGAGGAACACCGGUGGCGAAGGCGGGUCUCUGGGCCGACACUGACGCUGAGGAGCGAAAGCGUGGGGAGCGAACAGG